GGGCGAAUGGUCUAGGGGUAUGAUACUCCCUUCGCAUUUCUACGAAUUAUUAGAACAUCGCGUCUGGGAGGGGUCCGGGGUUCAAUUCCCCGUUCGUCCA
rnacentral:tRNA from 1 species